rnacentral:rRNA from 1 species
AGUUGGAAAAGUUUGAUCCUGACUCAGAUUGAACGCUGGCGGCAGGCCUAACACAUGCAAGUCGAGCGGAUGACGGGAGCUUGCUCCUGGAUUCAGCGGCGGACGGGUGAGUAAUGUCUAGGAAUCUGCCUGGUAGUGGGGGACAACGUUUCGAAAGGGUCGCUAAUACCGCAUACGUUCGCCAGGACAAAGCAGGGGACCUUCGGGCCUUGCGCUAUCAGAUGAGCCUAGAUCGGAUUAGCUUGUUGGUGAGGUAAUGGCUCACCAAGGCGACGAUCCCUAGCUGGUCUGAGAGGAUGAUCAGUCACACUGGAACUGAGACACGGUCCAGACUCCUACGGGAGGCAGCAGUGGGGAAUAUUGGACAAUGGGCGAAAGCCUGAUCCAGCCAUGCCGCGUGUGUGAAGAAGGUCUUCGGGAUUGUAAAGCACUUUAAGUUGGAGGAAGGAUUGUAAAUUAAUACUUCUUGCAUAUUUUGACGUUACCCGACAGAAAUACCACGGGCUAUCAG